GGACGUCAUACUAAGCUUCGAAAUAUACUCAAGAAGUUAAAAUAAAAGUUAUACAAAACUAAGAAAGGCCAGAGGCUCCUGACUUGGGACAGGCGCAAAAUUGCGGCGGGGUUAAAUAUGUUUUUGGAAAUCUCAACCCUCCCCCUAUACCUAUACCAAUGCGUGAACAGAUCAAAUCUUGUAGAAAGUUGAAUGACAUCAUACCGGACCGAUGUUGCCUUUUAGCCAACCAAAAUCAUACGGAGAUCUGUUAUUGUUUCUGUAGUUAGGUCGACAUUGUCUUGGAUAAAAUUUUAACCCCCAGAAGAAAAAUAAUGCCAUGUAGAAUGGAUGCCCCAUUUUCAUUGUUUCUAAUCUCCUGAUCAGUCAAACUUGUUGAUAGUUAUCAAAGGUGUGUCCAUAAAUACGGUGCAUUUGUAGUGAUAAACCUAAAUGAAAAAGAGUAAAAAAAUAUUUAUAGAUAAUAUACAUUCUACUAAAGCCAUACAUCUAAGAACUUUGUCAAUAGGAAUAUCGUACGCUUUAUUAACUGCCGCAGAUGUGUCA
rnacentral:lncRNA from 1 species